AGUGAACGCUGGCGGUAGGCCUAACACAUGCAAGUCGAACGGCAGCACAGUAAGAUCUUGCUCUUACGGGUGGCGAGUGGCGGACGGGUGAGGAAUACAUCGGAAUCUACUUUUUCGUGGGGGAUAACGUAGGGAAACUUACGCUAAUACCGCAUACGACCUACGGGUGAAAGCAGUGGAUCUUCGGACCUUGCGCGAUUGAAUGAGCCGAUGUCGGAUUAGCUAGUUGGCGGGGUAAAGGCCCACCAAGGCGACGAUCCGUAGCUGGUCUGAGAGGAUGAUCAGCCACACUGGAACUGAGACACGGUCCAGACUCCUACGGGAGGCAGCAGUGGGGAAUAUUGGACAAUGGGCGAAAGCCUGAUCCAGCCAUACCGCGUGGGUGAAGAAGGCCUUCGGGUUGUAAAGCCCUUUUGUUGGGAAAGAAAAGCAGCAGGUUAAUACCCCGCUGUUCUGACGGUACCCAAAGAAUAAGCACCGGCUAACUUCGUG
rnacentral:rRNA from 1 species